UGAGUCUUAGGUUAAUUAAACCGUUGCCCUUCAAAGGCAAGAUUGAGCAUUUCAGGCUUUA
rnacentral:tRNA from 1 species